GAAGGGCCAAAGGAGAUUCUGUCAACCAAACAAUUCAUCUGAUUACAGUGGAAGUAGGGCGAGAUGUCCAGUUACAAUGCAAAUAUGAAACUUCUGUCUCCCCAUCCCUUUUCUGGUAUCAACAACAUCCAUACAGCAGCCCUCAGCUCUUGCUGGCAAGUUAUGAUUCUGAAGGACACAUUUCAGCACACCUUGACAAAGUGGAGAAGUCUUUUCAUUUGAUUAAGGGUUCUGUUGAGCUGAGAGACUCAGCUGUCUACUUCUGUGCCUUGAGUCACACAGUGAGCACUGUAGCAAGGAGGAUGGGACAAAAACCCACCCAGUGGCAAAAUGCAGAGGCUCUCACCAUAUAA